rnacentral:rRNA from 1 species
AAUUGACGGGGGCCCGCACAAGCGGCGGAGCAUGUGGAUUAAUUCGAUGCAACGCGAAGAACCUUACCUGGGUUUGACAUAUACCGGACGACUGCAGAGAUGUGGUUUCCCUUGUGGUCGGUAUACAGGUGGUGCAUGGCUGUCGUCAGCUCGUGUCGUGAGAUGUUGGGUUAAGUCCCGCAACGAGCGCAACCCUUGUCCUGUGUUGCC